GUAGAGACGGGGUCUUGCUCUUUCUCAGGCUGGUUUCCAACUCCUGACCUUGAGCGAUCUGCCAGUCUUGCUGCCUGGCCUGGGAAGAAUCAAGUUUGAUUCCCAGGUUGUUGGAUUGAGCAAAAGGAUGGAUAGAGGUAACCUAGAAAGGGGAAACACGGGAAGAGGAGCAGGGAGAGUAUUUUAGGCAAAAGGGUUGGCAUGUCAGAAGGCCUACAGAUGACUAAGUAUGGCAUUUUCAAGGUAAUGAAUAAGUGGAGAAAUGCCUCACUCUAGUAAAUAUUAAUAGUAUGUGGGCAACUGAGGAGGUUUAAGAACAAAGUUCAAGGGAGGCCCUUAGAGUCAUCUAGACAGCAAAGCACUAUGGGAUUCCCAUAGCUAAAAAUGUAACCUCAUCCAUUCAGUAAUAUAAUUUCUAGGCACUAUGAUAAUCAGUGCUAGCCAAUGGAUACAGUUGACCUAAUGAAUUAAACUGUCCAUCGGAAAAAGAUGACUACAGGUUAGAGUAGUAGUCAAAGCAGUGACUGGAAUUAGAUGUACCUAUGAUUGAGCUUUAUUCUACUGUUUAUUAGCUGUGUGAUGGGGAAUUUUACUUAACCUCACUAAUUUCCUUUUCUACACAAUAAUACCAUUAUGAAAACUAAAUGAGAUAAUUAAAAGGUACUGGUCACAUAGUGCUCACAAUGUUAUGAAUACAAAUACUCAUAUAAAGACCAAUCAGAAGGGAGAUAGUAUAAAAUAUAAAAAAGGUAUUAGCAGACAGCAGGGUAGGACUAGCGUUGUCUGAGAACCCUGGAUUUGGAGCACUUAUAUAUGACUGGAGAAAAGAUCAGGCAUCCUGGGGGGUGGUAAGAACUGCCUCCCAACAGGCACUCUGCUGGAAUCAGCAAACUGACAUCGGCCUCUUUUUUCUAACACUCUUUAUCAUAUGGCAUCACAUCUUACAGUCCCUUCAGAAUAUGAGUCUGUGAAGGAGCCAGUGUUUAGUCCAAGACUGUAAGAAUGAUUUCAAACAGAUGGGGUGCCCUUUACAAAUCAACAGGAAAAAAAGUAUUGGAAUUUUUAAAUUACUUUGGUAACACUUCUCUUCACUUUUAGAAAAUGGUUAGCCUCUUAUAUUUGUAUUUCAUUCAUGUUUAUAAAUUUACAACUUAGGCAUAAUUGCAAGCGUCUGUGUUUUCUUUUCCUUAUUUGCUCAUGUUAUACAUCUCCACUCAGUCUUUCUCCACUGGCCUUCAUGGAUGUGGUUAGACGCCUGGACUCAAAUGCUGCAGUUGCUGCUCACUAACUUUGCAGCUGCUGGUAUGUGAGUACAAAAAUGCCACCUUCAUAGGAUUGCUGUGAGGAAUUAUGAUGUCAGUUUCAGUGCUCCAUAACUGGUAGCUGCUGUUCCUGAGUUUAACAGGAAACGCUUUAUCACGAACAAUUCAUCUCCUUUACCUUUUUUCUUCUUUUCGUCCUCUAACAUAUCGAAAGUGCCUCUGGCAGACCCGUGCCCCUGGCCCGGUAGGAUGUUAGAUCCUGGCCCUUUCUUUCCCUGAGGCUCUUCUUCCUACUUCAGCCCCCAAGUAGAGUCCGUCCCCUGCUCACGUGUGUGUUCCAGGCAAAGCUGGGAGGCGCUAGGGGGAGCGGCAGAGGGGAGGACGGGCGGGACCCGAGAAGGAGCUCCGGCCCGCCAGGGUCAUCCUGGCCUGUGAUCGCCAAGGGCGGUGGAAAUGAAUGGUGACACAAGGCAGGAGUCACGGGCAGGACAACUGGGGAGCACACCGGGACAGUGGCGAUACCAAGGAAACAACCAAAGUAGAUUCUAGGCCCACCUGGGCGCUGAAGGACAGGUAAAGAAAUCCGUUCCGUCUUCCUCCAGUCCUUCCUCGGUGAAGGACAAAUGCUAAGGGAGCCUCCAUCCCACCCCGCUCUGAACCACGUUCCCCGGCGGCUCCCAGAGAACCCGCGAUCGAGAUUAGGCCUCCGAGCUGCCUAGAUGGGCCCCGGAAGUGCACGCCGCGGACCCCAAGGCUCUGCUCGUCCCACCGGAGGCUGCGGAGCGCGGCGACGGGUGACUGCUGGACUCUUGCGUCGUGUUCUGAAGAAUUUUUAGAGAUCUCAGCCUUGGAGCAAUAUCGGACAUUGGAUCUAGCCCAUGGAGAAGCUGCCAGAGCAGAUGUCCUUGGAGUCAAUGUGUCCAUCCCCAGAGCAAGAGCCUACAAAGAGCAAGGGUGAGGAGCUGAACUAGCUGGCUUAUCUUUGGCAUGUAGACAAAGUUUGGGCAGAAUUUAUUUGUUCUUCCAACCACAGUCCCAGAUGAGAUGGACAAGAUUAGCCUUACAUUUAGGAUUGUGCUGGUGCAAGACUACUGAUUUUUUCCCCCCACCCCUGAAGCUCUAUCCCCUGUAAAUAAAGCCUGUGGCUAAUGUU